ACAGGGAUUGCCCCAGUAACGGCGAGUGAAGCGGCAACAGCUCAAAUUUGAAAUCUGGCCCCCAGGGCCCGAGUUGUAAUUUGUAGAGGAUGCUUUGGGCGCGGCGCCUUCCGAGUUCCCUGGAACGGGACGCCAUAGAGGGUGAGAGCCCCGUCUGGUCGGAUGCCUAGCCUCUGUAAAGCUCCUUCGACGAGUCGAGUAGUUUGGGAAUGCUGCUCAAAAUGGGAGGUAUAUGUCUUCUAAAGCUAAAUACUGGCCAGAGACCGAUAGCGCACAAGUAGAGUGAUCGAAAGAUGAAAAGCACUUUGAAAAGAGGGUUAAAAAGUACGUGAAAUUGUUGAAAGGGAAGCGCCUGUGACCAGACUUGGGCCCGGUGAAUCAUCCAGCGUUCUCGCUGGUGCACUUUGCCGGGCACAGGCCAGCAUCAGUUCGGCGCGGGGGAUAAAGGCUUUGGGAAUGUGGCUCCCCCGGGAGUGUUAUAGCCCACUGCGUAAUGCCCUGCGCCGGACUGAGGUACGCGCAUCGCAAGGAUGCUGGCGUAAUGGUCAUCAGCGACCCGUCUUGAAACACGGACCAAGGAGUCGUCUUCGUAUGCGAGUGUUCGGGUGUCAAACCCCUACGCGUAAUGAAAGUGAACGCAGGUGAGAGCUUCGGCGCAUCAUCGACCGAUCCUGAUGUUCUCGGAUGGAUUUGAGUAAGAGCAUACGGGGCCGGACCCGAAAGAAGGUGAACUAUGCCUGUGUAGGGUGAAGCCAGAGGAAACUCUGGUGGAGGCUCGCAGCGGUUCUGACGUGCGAAUCGAUCGUCAAACAUGGGCAUGGGGGCGAAAGACUAAUCGAACCUUCUAGUAGCUGGUUUCCGCCGAAGUUUCCCCUUCAGGAA
rnacentral:rRNA from 1 species